UGAGAGCUUGCUCUCAAGAAGUUAGCGGCGCGACUUGGUGAGUAACACGUGGGUAACCUGCCCAUAAGACUGGGAUAACUCCGGGAAACCGGGGCUAAUACCGGAUAAUAUUUUGAACUGCAUGGUUCGAAAUUGAAAGGCGGCUUCGGCUGUCACUUAUGGAUGGACCCGCGUCGCAUUAGCUAGUUGGUGAGGUAACGGCUCACCAAGGCAACGAUGCGUAGCCGACCUGAGAGGGUGAUCGGCCACACUGGGACUGAGACACGGCCCAGACUCCUACGGGAGGCAGCAGUAGGGAAUCUUCCGCAAUGGACGAAAGUCUGACGGAGCAACGCCGCGUGAGUGAUGAAGGCUUUCGGGUCGUAAAACUCUGUUGUUAGGGAAGAACAAGUGCUAGUUGAAUAAGCUGGCACCUUGACGGUACCUAACCAGAAAGCCACGGCUAACUACGUGCCAGCAGCCGCGGUAAUACGUAGGUGGCAAGCGUUAUCCGGAAUUAUUGGGCGUAAAGCGCGCGCAGGUGGUUUCUUAAGUCUGAUGUG
rnacentral:rRNA from 1 species